AUUUCUCUCUCGCUAUUAUAUAAAAGUAUAUGCAGCAAUGGAAUUUUCUUUUAGGUUUUUCAGGUGCUUGUUUCAAGGAUGGAUUAAAAGGAACAUUAAAGUUAAUUGCGAGCACUUUUGCUGUCAGAUGAAGGCGUUCUGAGGCAUGCAGCUUUUUCUUCCCGGUAAAGAAUUGUCGUGAGGAAAGGAUUAUAAUAAAUGGUCUAGGCAGCUUUAUCGGAUAAGAAAGAAGAGCUCCGAAACCCUGACUUCUACAUCAGUUGUUGUGUGAAC